rnacentral:lncRNA from 1 species
UCUUUAGCUACAGAUCCUGUGUGAGGUGAUUUCAUCAAGGUCUCUAUAGCUACAGAUCAGACCCUGUGUGAGGUGAUUUCAUCAAAGUCUCUAUAGCUACAGACCCUGUGUGAGGUGAUAUAUAGCUAGCAAUGUAAAUGUAGCUAGCAAAGUAAUGUAAGUCGCUCUGGAUAAGAGCGUCUGCUAAAUGACUUAAAUGAAAAUGAAAUGAAAUGAAAAUAUAUAGCUAGGGAGAAGACCCGUGUGAGGCGAUAUAUAGCUAGCGAGAAGACCUGUGUGAGGUGAUAUAUAGCUAGGGAGAAGACCUGUGUGAGGUGAUAUAUAGCUAGGGAGAAGACCUGUGUGAGGUGAUAUAUAGCUAGGGAGAAGACCUGUGUGAGGUGAUAUAUAGCUAGGGAGAAGACCUGUGUGAGGUGAUAUAUAGCUAGGGAGAAUACCUGUGUGAGGUGAUAUAUAGCUAGGGAGAAGACCUGUGUGAGGUGAUAUAUAGCUAGGGAGAAGACCUGUGUGAGGUGAUAUAUAGCUA